GACAGAGGGUGCAAACGUUGCUCGGAAUCACUGGGCGUAAAGAGCUCGUAGGCGGUUCGUCACGUCGGCUGUGAAAUCCCGAGGCUCAACCUCGGGUCUGCAGUCGAUACGGGCGGACUUGAGUACUGCAGGGGAGACUGGAAUUCCUGGUGUAGCGGUGAAAUGCGCAGAUAUCAGGAGGAACACCGGUGGCGAAGGCGGGUCUCUGGGCAGUAACUGACGCUGAGGAGCGAAAGCGUGGGGGAGCGAACAGG
rnacentral:rRNA from 1 species